GAACAGAGUUAGGAACAGAGUUAGGAAUGGAGUUAGGAACGGAGUUAGGAACGGAGUUAGGAACAGCGUUAGGAACGGAGUUAGGAACGGAGUUAGGGUACAGCGUUAGGAACGGAGUUAGGAACAGCGUUAGGAACAGUAUUAGGAACAGAGUUAGGAACGGUGUUAGGGAUGAGUUAGGAACAGCAUUAGCGGAGU
rnacentral:lncRNA from 1 species